GACGUAGGGGGCAAGCGUUGUUCGGAAUUACUGGGCGUAAAGCGUGCGCAGGCGGCUUCUCAAGUCAGGGGUGAAAGCCCAGAGCUCAACUCUGGAAUUGCCUUUGAGACUGAGUGGCUUGAGUACGAGAGAGGUGAGUGGAAUUCCCAGUGUAGAGGUGAAAUUCGCAGAUAUCAGGAAGAACACCCGUGGCUAAGGCGGCUCUCUAGUACGGUACUGACGCUGAGACGCGAAAGCGUGGGGAGCGAACAGG
rnacentral:rRNA from 1 species